UUGAACGCUGGCGGCAGGCCUAACACAUGCAAGUCGAGCGGAUGAAGGGAGCUUGCUCCUGGAUUCAGCGGCGGACGGGUGAGUAAUGCCUAGGAAUCUGCCUGGUAGUGGGGGAUAACGUCCGGAAACGGGCGCUAAUACCGCAUACGUCCUGAGGGAGAAAGUGGGGGAUCUUCGGACCUCACGCUAUCAGAUGAGCCUAGGUCGGAUUAGCUAGUUGGUGGGGUAAAGGCCUACCAAGGCGACGAUCCGUAACUGGUCUGAGAGGAUGAUCAGUCACACUGGAACUGAGACACGGUCCAGACUCCUACGGGAGGCAGCAGUGGGGAAUAUUGGACAAUGGGCGAAAGCCUGAUCCAGCCAUGUCGCGUGUGUGAAGAAGGUCUUCGGAUUGUAAAGCACUUUAAGUUGGGAGGAAGGGCAGUAAGUUAAUACCUUGCUGUUUUGACGUUACCAACAGAAUAAGCACCGGCUAACUUCGUG
rnacentral:rRNA from 1 species